rnacentral:rRNA from 1 species
AGGUCAAGUAGAGAAGGGCGCACGGUGAAUGCCUAGGCACUGGAAGCCGAUGAAGGACGUGACAAACGACGAAAUGCUUCGGGGAGCGGUAAGUACGCAGAGAUCCGGAGAUAUCCGAAUGGGGGAACCCGGCACCGCGAGGUGUCACCUUGAAUGUGAAUAGAUAGCAUUAAGGAGGAAGACGCAGUGAACUGAAACAUCUAAGUAGCUGCAGGAAGAGAAAGAAAGAUCGAUUUCCCAAGUAGCGGCGAGCGAACAGGAAAGAGCCCAAACCUAAUGGCUUGCCAUUAGGGGUAGAAGGACUGUAAAAAGCCGAAUGGAAGGAUAGCAGAAUUAUCUGGGAAGAUAAGCCAAAGAGGGUGAGAGCCCCGUAAGCGAAAUCCGGAAAGUAGGUGAGCAGGAUCCUGAGUAGGUCGGGACACGAGGAAUCCCGAUUGAAUCCGCGAGGACCAUCUCGCAAGGCUAAAUACUAACCAGUGACCGAUAGUGAACCAGUACCGUGAGGGAAAGGUGAAAAGAACCCCGGGAGGGGAG